rnacentral:rRNA from 1 species
AGUGAACGCUGGCGGUAGGCCUAACACAUGCAAGUCGAACGGCAGCACAGUAAGAGCUUGCUCUUACGGGUGGCGAGUGGCGGACGGGUGAGGAAUACAUCGGAAUCUACUUUUUCGUGGGGGAUAACGUAGGGAAACUUACGCUAAUACCGCAUACGACCUACGGGUGAAAGCAGGGGAUCUUCGGACCUUGUGCGAUUGUAUGAGCCGAUGUCGGAUUAGCUAGUUGGCGGGGUAAAGGCCCACCAAGGGGACGAUCCGUAGCUGGUCUGAGAGGAUGAGCCGCCACACUGGAACUGAGACACGGUCCAGACUCCUACGGGAGGCAGCAGUGGGGAAUAUUGGACAAUGGGCGCAAGCCUGAUCCAGCCAUACCGCGUGGGUGAAGAAGGCCUUCGGGUUGUAAAGCCCUUUUGUUUGGAAAGAAAAGCAGCAGGUUAAUACCCCGCUGUUCUGACGGUACCCAAAGAAUAAGCACCGGCUAACUUCGUG